rnacentral:rRNA from 1 species
GACGAACGCUGGCGGCGUGCCUAAUACAUGCAAGUCGAGCGGACGAUUCGAAAGCUUGCUUUUGAAUCGUUAGCGGCGGACGGGUGAGUAACACGUGGGCAACCUGCCCUGUAGACGGGGAUAACACCGAGAAAUCGGUGCUAAUACAGGAUAACACGAAAUGUCGCAUGACGUUUCGUUGAACGGCGGCGCAAGCUGCCGCUACAGGAUGGGCCCGCGGCGCAUUAGCUAGUUGGUGAGGUAACGGCUCACCAAGGCGACGAUGCGUAGCCGACCUGAGAGGGUGAUCGGCCACACUGGGACUGAGACACGGCCCAGACUCCUACGGGAGGCAGCAGUAGGGAAUCUUCCGCGAUGGACGAAAGUCUGACGGAGCAACGCCGCGUGAGCGAAGAAGGCCUUCGGGUCGUAAAGCUCUGUUGUUAGGGAAGAACAAGUAACGUAGUAACUGACGUUACUAUGACGGUACCUAACGAGAAAGCCACGGCUAACUACGUG